rnacentral:rRNA from 3 species
UACGGAGGAUCCAAGCGUUGUCCGGAUUUAUUGGGUUUAAAGGGUGCGUAGGCGGACUUAUAAGUCAGAGGUGAAAGCCGGUAGCUUAACUAUCGAAUUGCCUUUGAAACUGCAAGUCUUGAAUUUUGUUGAGGUAGGCGGAAUGUAUCAUGUAGCGGUGAAAUGCAUAGAUAUGAUACAGAACACCGAUUGCGAAGGCAGCUUACUAAGCAAAUAUUGACGCUGAGGCACGAAAGCGUGGGGAUCAAACAGG